GGGUUGUGAGGUUAAGCGACUAAGCGUACACGGUGGAUGCCCUGGCAGUCAGAGGCGAUGAAGGACGUGCUAAUCUGCGAUAAGCGUCGGUAAGGUGAUAUGAACCGUUAUAACCGGCGAUUUCCGAAUGGGGAAACCCAGUGUGAUUCGUCACACUAUCAUUAACUGAAUCCAUAGGUUAAUGAGGCGAACCGGGGGAACUGAAACAUCUAAGUACCCCGAGGAAAAGAAAUCAACCGAGAUUCCCCCAGUAGCGGCGAGCGAACGGGGAGCAGCCCAGAGCCUGAAUCAGUGUGUGUGUUAGUGGAAGCGUCUGGAAAGGCGCGCGAUACAGGGUGACAGCCCCGUACACAAAAAUGCACAUACUGUGAGCUCGAUGAGUAGGGCGGGACACGUGGUAUCCUGUCUGAAUAUGGGGGGACCAUCCUCCAAGGCUAAAUACUCCUGACUGACCGAUAGUGAACCAGUACCGUGAGGGAAAGGCGAAAAGAACCCCGGCGAGGGGAGUGAAAAAGAACCUGAAACCGUGUACGUACAAGCAGUGGGAGCACAGAGCAAUCUGUGUGACUGCGUACCUUUUGUAUAAUGGGUCAGCGACUUAUAUUCUGUAGCAAGGUUAACCGAAUAGGGGAGCCGAAGGGAAACCGAGUCUUAACUGGGCGUUAAGUUGCAGGGUAUAGACCCGAAACCCGGUGAUCUAGCCAUGGGCAGGUUGAAGGUUGGGUAACACUAACUGGAGGACCGAACCGACUAAUGUUGAAAAAUUAGCGGAUGACUUGUGGCUGGGGGUGAAAGGCCAAUCAAACCGGGAGAUAGCUGGUUCUCCCCGAAAGCUAUUUAGGUAGCGCCUCGUGAAUUCAUCUCCGGGGGUAGAGCACUGUUUCGGCAAGGGGGUCAUCCCGACUUACCAACCCGAUGCAAACUGCGAAUACCGGAGAAUGUUAUCACGGGAGACACACGGCGGGUGCUAACGUCCGUCGUGAAGAGGGAAACAACCCAGACCGCCAGCUAAGGUCCCAAAGUCAUGGUUAAGUGGGAAACGAUGUGGGAAGGCCCAGACAGCCAGGAUGUUGGCUUAGAAGCAGCCAUCAUUUAAAGAAAGCGUAAUAGCUCACUGGUCGAGUCGGCCUGCGCGGAAGAUGUAACGGGGCUAAACCAUGCACCGAAGCUGCGGCAGCGACGCUGAUGCGUUGUUGGGUAGGGGAGCGUUCUGUAAGCCUGUGAAGGUGUGCUGUGAGGCAUGCUGGAGGUAUCAGAAGUGCGAAUGCUGACAUAAGUAACGAUAAAGCGGGUGAAAAGCCCGCUCGCCGGAAGACCAAGGGUUCCUGUCCAACGUUAAUCGGGGCAGGGUGAGUCGACCCCUAAGGCGAGGCCGAAAGGCGUAGUCGAUGGGAAACAGGUUAAUAUUCCUGUACUUGGUGUUACUGCGAAGGGGGGACGGAGAAGGCUAUGUUGGCCGGGCGACGGUUGUCCCGGUUUAAGCGUGUAGGCUGGUUUUCCAGGCAAAUCCGGAAAAUCAAGGCUGAGGCGUGAUGACGAGGCACUACGGUGCUGAAGCAACAAAUGCCCUGCUUCCAGGAAAAGCCUCUAAGCAUCAGGUAACAUCAAAUCGUACCCCAAACCGACACAGGUGGUCAGGUAGAGAAUACCAAGGCGCUUGAGAGAACUCGGGUGAAGGAACUAGGCAAAAUGGUGCCGUAACUUCGGGAGAAGGCACGCUGAUAUGUAGGUGAAGUCCCUCGCGGAUGGAGCUGAAAUCAGUCGAAGAUACCAGCUGGCUGCAACUGUUUAUUAAAAACACAGCACUGUGCAAACACGAAAGUGGACGUAUACGGUGUGACGCCUGCCCGGUGCCGGAAGGUUAAUUGAUGGGGUCAGCGCAAGCGAAGCUCUUGAUCGAAGCCCCGGUAAACGGCGGCCGUAACUAUAACGGUCCUAAGGUAGCGAAAUUCCUUGUCGGGUAAGUUCCGACCUGCACGAAUGGCGUAAUGAUGGCCAGGCUGUCUCCACCCGAGACUCAGUGAAAUUGAACUCGCUGUGAAGAUGCAGUGUACCCGCGGCAAGACGGAAAGACCCCGUGAACCUUUACUAUAGCUUGACACUGAACAUUGAGCCUUGAUGUGUAGGAUAGGUGGGAGGCUUUGAAGUGUGGACGCCAGUCUGCAUGGAGCCGACCUUGAAAUACCACCCUUUAAUGUUUGAUGUUCUAACGUUGACCCGUAAUCCGGGUUGCGGACAGUGUCUGGUGGGUAGUUUGACUGGGGCGGUCUCCUCCUAAAGAGUAACGGAGGAGCACGAAGGUUGGCUAAUCCUGGUCGGACAUCAGGAGGUUAGUGCAAUGGCAUAAGCCAGCUUGACUGCGAGCGUGACGGCGCGAGCAGGUGCGAAAGCAGGUCAUAGUGAUCCGGUGGUUCUGAAUGGAAGGGCCAUCGCUCAACGGAUAAAAGGUACUCCGGGGAUAACAGGCUGAUACCGCCCAAGAGUUCAUAUCGACGGCGGUGUUUGGCACCUCGAUGUCGGCUCAUCACAUCCUGGGGCUGAAGUAGGUCCCAAGGGUAUGGCUGUUCGCCAUUUAAAGUGGUACGCGAGCUGGGUUUAGAACGUCGUGAGACAGUUCGGUCCCUAUCUGCCGUGGGCGCUGGAGAACUGAGGGGGGCUGCUCCUAGUACGAGAGGACCGGAGUGGACGCAUCACUGGUGUUCGGGUUGUCAUGCCAAUGGCACUGCCCGGUAGCUAAAUGCGGAAGAGAUAAGUGCUGAAAGCAUCUAAGCACGAAACUUGCCCCGAGAUGAGUUCUCCCUGACUCCUUGAGAGUCCUGAAGGAACGUUGAAGACGACGACGUUGAUAGGCCGGGUGUGUAAGCGCAGCGAUGCGUUGAGCUAACCGGUACUAAUGAACCGUGAGGCUUAACCUUACAACGCCGAAGGUGUUU
rnacentral:rRNA from 1 species